GAGCAACCAAGAACAAAGAAAAUAAUUUAUUCCAUACAUCAAAGUGAUAGUACCAUCGAUUCUUAAGCCACAACGAAACAAAAUUGAGAUGAAAGCGAUAAAACACAUCCACCAAACGACAAUAGAAACAAUGGAAAAAACCUAACCAUGCCACUUUAUAAUAUCUAACACUCAAUAGACGGCAUCAUAAACGAUGGAAAAGACCCGGCUACACCACCUUACAAUGCCUAUCGAUGGUGGAGAGGGGCAACGAUGUUAAUCCAAUUAUGAGUGAACGACUAAAAAAGUCUCAUCCUUAAGAAGCACCGACAACUCACCCUCGCCAUUGCUCGCAUCCAUCCAUAGACGAACUUUCAAAGAAAUACAACGGACAAGAGCAGCGGAUAACACUGCACCAAACAACAAAUCUCGGAAAAAGACUAGCAGAAAACUAGAACAAGAAAAUCAACAAAAGGCACUAAACA
rnacentral:lncRNA from 1 species